rnacentral:rRNA from 1 species
AUUGAACGCUGGCGGCAUGCCUUACACAUGCAAGUCGAACGGCAGCACGGGUGCUUGCUCCUGGUGGCGAGUGGCGAACGGGUGAGUAAUACAUCGGAACAUGUCCUGUAGUGGGGGAUAGCCCGGCGAAAGCCGGAUUAAUACCGCAUACGAUCCACGGAUGAAAGCGGGGGACCUUCGGGCCUCGCGCUAUAGGGUUGGCCGAUGGCUGAUUAGCUAGUUGGUGGGGUAAAGGCCUACCAAGGCGACGAUCAGUAGCUGGUCUGAGAGGACGACCAGCCACACUGGGACUGAGACACGGCCCAGACUCCUACGGGAGGCAGCAGUGGGGAAUUUUGGACAAUGGGCGAAAGCCUGAUCCAGCAAUGCCGCGUGUGUGAAGAAGGCCUUCGGGUUGUAAAGCACUUUUGUCCGGAAAGAAAACCUUGACUCUAAUACAGUCGGGGGAUGACGGUACCGGAAGAAUAAGCACCGGCUAACUACGUG